rnacentral:rRNA from 1 species
AGUGAACGUUGGCGGCGUGGAUUAGGCAUGCAAGUCGAGCGAGAACCGUAGCAAUACGGGGACAGCGGCGAAAGGGACAGUAAUGUGUAGGUACCUACCUCCGGGUUCGGGAUAGCUGCGGGAAACUGCAGGUAAUACCGAAUAACGUCUCCGGACCAAAGGUGUGAUUCCACCUGGAGAGGGGCCUGCAUCCUAUUAGCUUGUUGGCGGGGUAACGGCCCACCAAGGCGACGAUGGGUAGCGGGUGUGAGAGCACGACCCGCGUCAUUGGGACUGAGACACUGCCAGACACCUACGGGUGGCUGCAGGCGUGAGUCUUCGGCAAUGGGCGCAAGCCUGACCGAGCGAGGCCGCGUGCGGGAUGAAGGCCUUCGGGUUGUAAACCGCUGUCGUAGAGGAGGAAAUGCAGGGGGGUUCUCCCCUCUGUUUGACCUAUUCUAGGAGGAAGUACGGGCUAAGUUCGUGCCAGCCGCCGCCGUAA